rnacentral:lncRNA from 1 species
AUUCCAGAGUAGAAAUAGUAAGUAUAUUUCGUGGUAAUGGUCUGGGUCCUGUUUCCCUCUUAGCAUUAAGAACAUUUAAAGUAUUUUUUUAACCCAAAAACAGGCUGGAUGGCUCCCUCAGUAAUUGAACGAUAGGUGGCAGUAUGCAACUAAUUAGCGAUGAAAAAAACGCAGAAAAAGACAAUUGAGCUUCAUGAGAUGAGCUUUCAGCUCAGGAGUCUAUAAACAGUUUACACAGUUUCAGUUUUAUUGUGGAUAUCAGCGGCGUCCAUUCUGAAAAAAGAAAUAAUAUUCCAGUUAAAUGAUGCAGGUUAAAUUGUGUAUUCCUGCUGCUAAUGAUGAUUAUAAGCAAAGGAUACAGUCACUGUGUUCUGGAGAUACAGAGACCGUAAGACUGUGUACGACAUCAUCAUUAGCAAAGAGUGGUUGCUUGAACAGGAAGCAGCGUUCAGAGGCAGAGUCCGGAGUUUUCCAGAAGAGUGGAAAAACGGCAAUUUCUCCACCAGACUGAAUAAUGUGACCGAGUUUGAUUCAGGACAGUACACCUGCCAAAUUGUUAAACUCAACAAGCAAACAAAACUACAGCUGAAUGUUAAAGGUAAAGGUUUUAUUACACUGUGAACACAUAACAAAAGCGAUCGUAAAUGUCCUGAGUGUUUAAGAAAAAAAAAAGCCUAAUAUUCUUGUUUAUUAUAAUGUGUAUUUUUUGGUAAAGCUGGCUAAAUAAAACAGUGGGUAAGAUAUUUUGAUAAACUUCC